UACGGGGGGGGCAAGCGUUGUUCGGAAUUACUGGGCGUAAAGGGCUCGUAGGCGGCCAACUAAGUCAGACGUGAAAUCCCUCAGCUUAACCGGGGAACUGCGUCUGAUACUGGAUGGCUUGAGUUUGGGAGAGGGAUGCGGAAUUCCAGGUGUAGCGGUGAAAUGCGUAGAUAUCUGGAGGAACACCGGUGGCGAAGGCGGCAUCCUGGACCAACACUGACGCUGAGGAGCGAAAGCCAGGGGAGCAAACGGG
rnacentral:rRNA from 1 species